ensembl:lncRNA
GUUUCUGUGUGUGUGUGUGUGUGUGUGUGUGUGUGUGUGUGUGUGUGUGUGUGUGUGUGUGUGUGAGGGAGGGGGGGGGGAGACGACGACGUGGGAAUGUGUGUGUUUAUGUAGAGAGAGAGGGAGAGAGAGAUUUGAGCGGCACUUUAUUUGCAAACUACUGGCUGAGUUCCCACUAGAGGCAGCGAGAUCAGACUGUGUGUGCGUGUGUGUGUGUGUGUGUGUGUGUGUGUCUGGGAGAAACAUCAGCCGAGACGGGCAGACAGAAGGAAGGAGAGAAAGAGAAGGAGCGAGAAAGAGAGAAAGAGGAGGGGGCGAGAGGAACUCGUUCAACCCAUUUGGGCGACAACUUUCCGGCCCGUCCCCAUGAGGUCUCGCUGCGAGUCUGGAAGGUUUGGGAGCUCGUGUGUUUGAAUCGUGCCGGUUUCACGCCGCGGGAACUUUGCCCGCACUUUAGGUCGACGACGAGCAAAAACGAACGACUUUGGUUCUGCAAAAGACGUGAAACCCCAAAAACUGAGGAACAGAUUUUAUUUCUUGGUGCCAACGGGGAACAUUCAACGCUGUCGGUGAGUUUGAGCUGCGACUAAACCAUCGACCGUUGACUGUACCCUGAGGGACACCACGGAGACGUCUGCCAGCAGAGACAUCACGCAAAGACGAACACGGGAACGACACGUCAAACCUACAGGCUGCGAUAAACAUUCAUUGCUGUCGGUGGGUUUUUAAUGAGAACAACUCACUGAUCAAUGAAUGCAGACUGCGGCUCACACAGCACAGACAACGCAGCAAAGAGCCCGAGGCGCGAGCGGUGCUCAGGAAAAUACGGUAAACUGGAUAAAUCAGGUCUAUGAGGACAAACGGAGCAUAAAGAUCUCUGAAAACACUAAAAUUACACUAAUUUCCAUCCAUUUAAUAGAUUGAAAAGAGAUACUUUAUACAUCUUCAAGUAGAGAUGUAACAAUUAAUCAUAAGGCAGUUAAAAUAGAUUCAUAGGUAUCACGUUCAUAUCGAUUUUCUGAAAAUUGAAUCGCAGUAGUUUUUUUAAACAGCAGAGGGCUAUAUAUUUAUCCUUCUCUUGUCCAAAUACUGAGGCGGCGGGCGGAAUCUGCUACUACUUUCUUUCUGGCUGCCUUCCACUCUUAAACAUGUUCAUAAAUGAUUCCUUACCCCUUUAGCACCGAAAGAAUAUCUGUAAUAUUACCUGAAUAUCUGUAAAAGUCAAGUUUUUCUAUUAGCUCUGUCUGCUAGCGUAGCAUCUCUUCUUCACUGCACAGAAUAGCUGCAUCGCAACCGACCACUGGGUCACCAGCGCCCUCUGCUGGUCCAAACUAAUAUCUGACUUAAAUACAGUGCAGACUGUUUUUUUUUUUUUUUUUAAGUCCAAUUGUUAAGGCCCACAAUACAUUUUCAGUUGCAGUUUUGAAAAGAAAAAUAAGUAUUAUGCAGUUUUGCAUUGUUUACUAUAGAACCAGAAUUUAAAUUAAUAGGCUUCUUCUACAUUUGUAUUAUUCCUUUAUUUAUUUCAUUCAAGAUUUAUUUUUAGUUAAAUUGCAUUGUUUUUAAUAGUUUAUCAAGGUAUUUUUUUAAAAAUUGAAAAAAAAAAAAAAAAAAAAAAAAACUACAGUAUUUUCCCCCCAAAAAAUAAAAGAAUAUUUUUCAAUCA